rnacentral:rRNA from 1 species
CCCUUAGAUGUCCUGGGCCGCACGCGCGCUACACUGACAUGUUCAACAAGUUUCUCCUAGUUCGACAGGACUGGGAAAUCUUUGAACGCAUGUCGUGAUAGGGAUAGAUCAUUGCAAUUAUUGAUCUUGAACGAGGAAUUCCUAGUAAACGCGAGUCAUCAGCUCGCAUUGAUUACGUCCCUGCCCUUUGUACACACCGCCCGUCGCACCUACCGAUUGAAUGUUUCGGUGAAGAUUCCGGAUAGGACUGAUUUGACUUAUUUCAUUUCUGACCUAAAAGCUAUCUAAACCUCAACAUUUAGAGGAAGGUGAAGUCGUAACA